GACGAACGCGGGGGCGUGCUUAACACAUGCAAGUCGAACGAUGAAGCCUAGCUUGCUAGGUGGAUUAGUGGCGAACGGGUGAGUAAUACGUGAGUGACCUACCUUUGACUCUGGGAUAAGCCUGGGAAACUGGGUCUAAUACCGGAUACGACCAAUCUCCGCAUGGGGUGUUGGUGGAAAGCGUUAUGGAGUGGUUUUAGAUGGGCUCACGGCCUAUCAGCUUGUUGGUGAGGUAAUGGCUUACCAAGGCGACGACGGGUAGCCGGCCUGAGAGGGUGACCGGCCACACUGGGACUGAGACACGGCCCAGACUCCUACGGGAGGCAGCAGUGGGGAAUAUUGCACAAUGGGCGCAAGCCUGAUGCAGCGACGCCGCGUGAGGGAUGACGGCCUUCGGGUUGUAAACCUCUGUUAGCAUCGAAGAAGCGAAAGGUGACG
rnacentral:rRNA from 1 species